rnacentral:rRNA from 1 species
AUUGAACGCUGGCGGCAUGCUUUACACAUGCAAGUCGAACGGUAACAGGCCACAAGGUGCUGACGAGUGGCGAACGGGUGAGUAAUGCAUCGGAACGUGCCCAGUCGUGGGGGAUAACGCAGCGAAAGCUGUGCUAAUACCGCAUACGAUCUAUGGAUGAAAGCGGGGGACCGUAAGGCCUCGCGCGAUUGGAGCGGCCGAUGUCAGAUUAGGUAGUUGGUGGGGUAAAGGCUCACCAAGCCAACGAUCUGUAGCUGGUCUGAGAGGACGACCAGCCACACUGGGACUGAGACGCGGCCCAGACUCCUACGGGAGGCAGCAGUGGGGAAUUUUGGACAAUGGGCGCAAGCCUGAUCCAGCAAUGCCGCGUGCAGGAAGAAGGCCUUCGGGUUGUAAACUGCUUUUGUACGGAACGAAAAGGUUUGGGUUAAUACCCUGGGCCGAUGACGGUACCGUAAGAAUAAGCACCGGCUAACUACGUGCCAGCAGCCGCAGUAAAAC